GGUGAGGUAGCUCAGGUUGGUAGAGCAGUGGACUGAAAAUCCUCGUGUCGGCGGUUCGAAUCCGCCCCUCACCACCA
rnacentral:tRNA from 1 species